UGGCUCUGAUACCAUUUAUAAAAACUCAAGUCCCCUACUAGUAGAUAUCGUCCGUUAUGACCCGUUGUGUAUUGUCGUCAGUCUCACAGUUUUAAAAUACAUCUACUAGGGAGAGGUUUCCAUACUCAUAUAAGGAAUAUUUUGUUUCCCUUUCCAACCGAUGUAGGAUCUCACAAUCCACUCUCCCUUGGAGGCCCGACGUCCUCGUUGGUACACCUCUUGAGGUCUAGCUCUGAUACCAUUUAUAACAGCUCAAGCCCACCGCUAGCAGAUAUUGUCCUUUUUGGGCUUUCCCUUUCAAAUUUUCCCUCAAGGUUGUCAAAACACGUCGGCUAGUGAGAGGUUUCCACACUCUUAUAA